rnacentral:rRNA from 1 species
AUUGAACGCUGGCGGCAGGCCUAACACAUGCAAGUCGAACGGUAGCACAGAGAGCUUGCUCUCGGGUGACGAGUGGCGGACGGGUGAGUAAGGUCUGGGAAACUGCCUGAUGGAGGGGGAUAACUACUGGAAACGGUAGCUAAUACCGCAUAACGUCGCAAGACCAAAGAGGGGGACCUUCGGGCCUCUUGCCAUCAGAUGUGCCCAGAUGGGAUAGCUAGUAGGUGGGGUAACGGCUCACCUAGGCGACGAUCCCUAGCUGGUCUGAGAGGAUGACCAGCCACACUGGAACUGAGACACGGUCCAGACUCCUACGGGAGGCAGCAGUGGGGAAUAUUGCACAAUGGGCGCAAGCCUGAUGCAGCCAUGCCGCGUGUAUGAAGAAGGCCUUCGGGUUGUAAAGUACUUUCAGCGGGGAGGAAGGGAGUAAGGUUAAUAACCUUAUUCAUUGACGUUACCCGCAGAAGAAGCACCGGCUAACUCCGUGCCAGCAGCCGCAGUAAAAC